rnacentral:misc_RNA from 1 species
AAAUGCGAUAAGUAAUGUGAAUUGCAGAAUUCAGUGAAUCAUCGAAUCUUUGAACGCACCUUGCGCCCUUUGGUAUUCCGAGGGGCAUGCCUGUUUGAGUGUCAUUAAAUACCAUCAACCCUCUUUUGACUUCGGUCUCGAGAGUGGCUUGGAAGUGGAGGUCUGCUGGAGCCUAACGGAGCCAGCUCCUCUUAAAUGUAUUAGCGGAUUUCCCUUGCGGGAUCGCGUCUCCGAUGUGAUAAUUUCUACGUCGUUGACCAUCUCGGGGCUGACCUAGUCAGUUUCAAUAGGAGUCUGCUUCUAACCGUCUCUUGACUGAGACUAGCGACUUGUGCGCUAACUUUUGACUUGACCUCAAAUCAGGUAGGACUACCCGCUGAACUUAAGC